CCUACGGGAGGCAGCAGUGAGGAAUAUUGGUCAAUGGGCGAGAGCCUGAACCAGCCAAGUCGCGUGAGGGAGUACUGCCCUAUGGGUUGUAAACCUCUUUUGUCGGGGAGCAAAAGCCGGACGUGUCCGGCUGUGAGAGUACCCGAAGAAAAAGCAUCGGCUAACUCCGUGCCAGCAGCCGCGGUAAUACGGAGGAUGCGAGCGUUAUCCGGAUUUAUUGGGUUUAAAGGGUGCGCAGGCGGAUUUUUAAGUCAGCGGUAAAAUCGGGGGGCUCAACCCCAUCCAGCCGUUGAAACUGGGGAUCUAGAGUGUGCGAGAGGUAUGCGGAAUGCGUGGUGUAGCGGUGAAAUGCAUAGAUAUCACGCAGAACCCCGAUUGCGAAGGCAGCAUACCGGUGCACAACUGACGCUCAGGCACGAAAGCGUGGGUAUCGAACAGGAUUAGAUACCCGAGUAGUC
rnacentral:rRNA from 1 species